rfam:Triticum aestivum genome assembly, contig: Triticum_aestivum_CS42_TGACv1_scaffold_579086_7BL
CAGUAAGAGGGAUGAUGUACUACCGAAAAGCUUUGGAGCUUCAGGCUUUUCUUGAUAAUGCCAAAGAUGAUGGUAUUUCCG